UACGAAGGGGGCUAGCGUUGUUCGGAAUUACUGGGCGUAAAGCGCGCGCAGGCGGUUCUUCAAGUCAGAGGUGAAAGCCCAGAGCUCAACUCUGGAAUGGCCUUUGAGACUAGAGAACUAGGGUACGGGAGAGGUGAGUGGAAUUCCGAGUGUAGAGGUGAAAUUCGUAGAUAUUAGGAAGAACACCAGUGGCGAAGGCGGCUCACUGGCCCGGAACUGACGCUGAUCCGCGACAGCAUGGGGAGCGAACGGG
rnacentral:rRNA from 1 species